CGGGCAGCAGAGGGCAGCGCUGGCGCGGAGCUCUGUGGAGAAGCGAAGUCUUUCUUGUCUUUGCGUCACUUGGGCUCCGCGCUGACUGACUCAUAAGAACGCUCGAGGCCCAAAGUGAACGUGAUUUUAUUGUCUGUCGGUUCUGGAUGUUCUGGGGACUAUUCCAAGGGGACGACAGAGAGAGGUUUUCUUCUUGCUCUUUGACACUGUAAGGAGGAGUGGGGACUUCAAAUGUAGCAUGAAACUGAGAAUAAUCGACACGGAAAAAGCCAUCUUCCAGGGACAUCACUGGGAGGAAUCUGUGACCCCAAAGAACUUCAUCUUCCGUAUAUGAGGUCCUAGCUUGGCAAGUCAUUCCUGUGGAGGCAGAGACAAGAGAAUGACGUUGUAACAUAAGCGAAAACUGCGAUGUACAUGUAAGGACUUUAAGGUAAGAGAUGGUUUCUCCACAGCUGAAGAGGACAAGGGACACAUCAGCUGACUGCUUGUAAAAGUGUUCUCAGGUAUUACAGUGCUUUGAAAGGUAAAACAGAGCAGUAGGAAAUAAAAAGGGAUCAACCCCCCCUGCUACUUACAAUAGUGACACUGUUACAUGCAAAGGUGCAAUCAAACUACUGCAAAAAUAUCCCUCAUCUUUUUUUGAGGGAAGCUGCAGUUCCAGGCUGCAGACAACACUGCUGUUUUUGUUGCCUGGCUACUGUUCAGCAGGUGCACAGCUGGCAGCAUACAGUUUUUGCUCCAAGGCAACAAGGCUUAACAUGAACUGUAUGAACCACACGUGAGCCUGAAACUUCCCCGAAGUUUUAUAGAAUGCUAUUACCAAAGAUGUGCAUAAUUGCACAAAUCACUGCCUGAAUGAUCUGUUUCCAUCUACAAACAGUUUUUCUCUGGGGAAAAGUCUACUGAGUUGAUUUGAUGGAAGUAAACAAAUCCAGUGAGGAUGAUUAGAGGUAACAGACCUGGGAGGAAAGCAAAAGGUUGUGCUUGAGGUAUUUAGCACCUGCACACGGGACUGAUUUAUGCAGAGCAUGGAGAAUUUUGAAGAGGAGCUUAUUUGUUAAGUAAAAAUAAACGAUCCUAAACAAAGAGUUUCACAGCUCUCACAUGUUAAGACUUCCAGCCAUCAACCUCUGUUGCACACAGCUGUGCUCAGAGGAGCACAGAAGGGCAGCACAGGACUGUAAACUGCCAGCAGUUUGGAAGGGACGGCUGAGAUUCUUUAUUUUGACCUCCCACAAAGCCAGAUAACUUUCACAGAUGAAUGCACCAGGACACAAAUAGUUAGAAAUGCCCCAGCUUUGAUUUUCAAUGUGACAACAGUUGGGAAAUCCAAAGGUCUACGUGAGUUGCACCGAAGGUUAUUUGCCUCACAAUUAAGAAAAAACCUAAACUCCUUAGGUGUGUAGAUUUAUUCAUCUGUACCUUUCUGCCACUGGAUUCUACAUUCCUCAGCUUUCCAAAUCAAGUUCUCCUAUGCUACCAGCUGAAAAACUCUAUGGAAAGCUGUCAUACCAACAUUAUGAUGGUUAUCAGUGAAAUCUACUGAAUAUCCUAGGACAUUUGUCAUGCCACUCAGACAGACUUAGAUUGGUGUACUUUUUUUUUUUUAUUUUAAAAAAAACAAAGGUAAGACCUCCAUUACUCCAACUGAAACAUGAAGCUUAAUACUAAAUACAGCUCCUAUCUCAAUGGCAAAGUGGGGUAAGGCACACUCCUUCACAUUGUGUGACACAAGUAAACAUCUUGCUAUCUAAUCCAACACAGGAGUGUAGCAAGAUCAGCUGUCAGCAGCACUGCAGGAAGCACAGCCAAAAGCACAGAGCACAAAACAGGCAGGACUUGCUACAGAGAGAUGGUUUGGGAGUUACAUCACAUCCAUCAUGGGCUUACAGGAUGCACAAAGGAAGCUGCUGCAAAGCAGCUGAUGUAAAUUCAUCUGCUGCUGGAACAGCUGCUGCCUCUGCUGGGACAGCAUGUCCUGUUCAAGGGGCACCUCGACAAACUGGUGAGGAUUUAGAAGGCUGAGGGCUACUGUGGGCUAGAAGACACCACUUGUAGUGGGCAUUGAGGGUGCAGCUUGUGCACAUUUACUUGUAAACAUUCUUGUGGCAAUAGCUUUGAUUUGCCAAAGGUCGCCAAGAAGCUUGAAGACAAAUCAAGGGCAUUGGUGAUCAUUUGUAAGAGCUGCAAGAGCUCAGGUAUUACUCAGGGCUUCACUGCUUAAUGUGUGAAACAACUAUUGUAAGAUGAAUCAGUCCUUAUCAAAUGCUCUCCUGUUUUCUCUACAAACCAGCAUUGUGCAGCGAUAGAAUUAUUAGCAGUGCACCAGGCUGUGUGUUCAGUGUGUCAUUUCAAAAGAAGUUUACAGUGAAUUGCCAUCAGUGUAAAAAUCACAGCUGUGAAACUGCUCCUGUUCUGCUUUGACUUGCAUUCCAUCUUGGAUGAUGGCCAGAAACAAAUACUUUAAAGGAGGAUUUCUGAUCAUUUUCGGUGCUAGAAAUCAGCAAAAAUAAUGGAUUAUCUGGCUUUCUGAUUCCUACAAAAAUGCUCCAUUGUAAUUCUCAGCAGUUCUUUUUCAUGUACAAAUCCAACCGCUUUUUGAAUCUUAGUAGAGCUCCAUUUUAAAAGGAAUUCUUUGACAAGAAAAAUUAGCAGCUAAGUCAAGCAUUCAGCACAAAGCAGAGGAAAAGCAGUCCUUCACAUUUACUGUUGUCUUAUCAGCUACUGUAUCAGGCUUGUUUCUGCAGAUUAUUAAAAUGGCCAAGCAGUUGCUCCGAAAAGAGGAUUAUCACAGAGAACAUGAAACAUUUAUGACAUUCAUAUUCUGAAAUUAACAUAAUCAUCAGGAUUCAGCUGCUGAUGCAGCCCAUCAGGCAUGCCCCUGUGACAAGACACAGCUGCUCUGAGCUGUUCUGUUGCUUCCUCUCGACAUGCCACUCAACCACACAGUAUUUUCCUCCUAUUCUAUUCUUGCCCAGUGUAUCUGAGGUCUCCCAUGGCUGCCAAACAGUUCUGCCUCCUCUAUUUAUCUAUUAGUUGAAUUUGAGUUCCAGCCCUUUUUUUGCAUUCUGAAUUAUGCUGACCCUUGUCAGUGCUUAAUAGAUAGAUAGCAGUGAAAAUCAAAGGCUUUUCCACUCAAGCUCUGCAGUGCUGGAAGGCCACAGGCAGGACCCAUGGGGUAAGGAACUACAAGUGAAAGCCCCCCUGAGGGACAAAAAGGGGGUUCAGGGCAGCUUGGCUGCUCUUGGGGCAAGUGGUUUCUCUCGACCCGUGCUCUCCCAGCAUCACCCACCACAACCUGCUGCCUCAUCCUGCUUCCACUCCAGGCCUCACCUUGAUCAGCUUGCAGCGGAUCUGGGCAGAAACCAUGUGGCUGUUGCGGAGGUUGCCGACCCGGAACAUGAGGCAGAGCUUGCCAUCCCGCUGCGAGACCACUGCGGCACGGCUGAACAUGAGGGUCUCAGCUCUCUUUUUGGGCUGCGACAUCUUGAUGAACAUGCAGCCGAUGAGGAACGCGUCGACGAUGGAGCCCAGCAGCGACUGGAAGAGGAAGAGCACGAUGCCCUCAGGGCAGCGCUCGGUAAUGUAGCGGUGCCCGUAGCCAAUGGUGGCUUCGGUCUCUAUGAAGAAAAGGAAGGCAGAGGGAAAGUUGUACACGUUGGCCACGCACGGACUGUAGGUGUCAUCGUGUGCCCGGUGCAGGUCGCCUCGCAGGUAGGCAAUGCCCCACCACAUGGAAGCCAUGACCAGCCAGGCGACCGUGUAGGUCAGCAGGAAGAUGAGCAGGUUCCAACGCCAUUUGAGAUCCACCAGCGUGGUGAAGAGGUCGGAGAGCCAUGCCCUCGCCGGGAUGUGGGAUGCAGGGAUUCCCGUUCAGCCGGAGCCGCCGCCAGCGCUGCCCGCAGCCGACGGGAG